rnacentral:rRNA from 1 species
UACGGAGGGUGCAAACGUUGCUCGGAAUCAUUGGGCGUAAAGCGCACGUAGGCGGUCCGUUAUGUCGGGUGUGAAAGCCCUCGGCUUAACCGAGGAAGUGCAUUCGAAACUGGCGGACUUGAGUACCGGAGAGGGUCGCGGAAGUUCCCGGUGUAGCGGUGAAAUGACGCAGAUAUCGGGAGGAACACCAGUAGCGAAGGCGGCACUCUGGGCCGGUACUGACGCUGAGGAGCGAAAGCGUGGGAGCAACAGG